GAUGAACGCUAGCGGCAGGCCUAAUACAUGCAAGUCGAGCGGCAGUUGGGGUAGUAAUACAACAAUGAGAGCGGCGCACGGGUGCGUAACGCGUAUGCAACCUACCUCAUACAGGGGGAUAGCCCGGAGAAAUCUGGAUUAAUACCCCAUAGUACAUAGAGAUGGCAUCUGAACUAUGUUAAAGAUUUAUCGGUAUGAGAUGGGCAUGCGUCUGAUUAGCUAGUUGGCGGUGUAACGGACCACCAAGGCGACGAUCAGUAGGGGUUCUGAGAGGAAGGUCCCCACACUGCACGUGAGAUGACGGGCCAGGCAGCUCCUCACGGGGAGGCAGCAGUAGGGAAUAUUGGCAAUGGUCGGAAGACUGACCAG
rnacentral:rRNA from 1 species